rnacentral:rRNA from 1 species
ACCUACGGGGGGCAGCAGUAGGGAAUUUUCGUCAAUGGGCGCAAGCCUGAACGAGCAAUGCCGCGUGAACGAGGAAGGUCUUCGGAUCGUAAAGUUCUGUUGAAGGGGCAAAAGAGCGGAGAGAGGAAAUGGUCUCCGAUUGAUAUUACCCUUCGAGGAAGUCACGGCUAACUACGUGCCAGCAGCCGCGGUAAUACGUAGGUGGCGAGCGUUAUCCGGAAUGAUUGGGCGUAAAGGGUGCGUAGGCGGCCUGCUAAGUCUGGAGUGAAAGGUACCGGCUCAACCGGUACUGGCUCUGGAAAGUG